rnacentral:rRNA from 1 species
AACGAACGCUGGCGGCAUGCCUAACACAUGCAAGUCGAACGAGACCUUCGGGUCUAGUGGCGCACGGGUGCGUAACGCGUGGGAACCUGCCCUUAGGUUCGGAAUAACUCCCCGAAAGGGGUCCUAAUACCGGAUAAUGUCUUCGGACCAAAGAUUUAUCGCCUUUGGAUGGGCCCGCGUUGGAUUAGCUAGUUGGUAGGGUAAACGCCUACCAAGGCGACGAUCCAUAGCUGGUCUGAGAGGAUGAUCAGCCACACUGGGACUGAGACACGGCCCAGACUCCUACGGGAGUCAGCAGUGGGGAAUAUUGGACAAUGGGCGAUAGCCUGAUCCAGCAAUGCCGCGUGAGUGAUGAAGGCCUUAGGGUUGUAAAGCUCUUUUACCCGGGAUGAUAAUGACAGUACCGGGAGGAUAAGCUCCGGCUAACUCCGUG